AUGAGAGGUGCGCAAUACACAGAAACAUAUCUGUUUUCUUGAAGGACCAGGGGAGGGCCAAGGGGCCAGCGGUGUGGGGUGGAGCAGCGAGGCCGGCGACCCAGGCGGCGGACGCCUCACGGGGUGGAGGAGAGACUGGCGACAAGGAAGGAGCAGAAUCCUCAUGGAGCGGCAGGGAAGGUGAAGUCCCGACGGCUGAAGAUGGUGCGCACGGAGGAGCUCGGAUGAUGUCAAGGACGUUUAGCAGGACUGACUUAAGAUCGAACCCCUGACAGAGUUUAAGCAUGGUCCCGUAUGCACUUCUUGACUUCUCUUGAUUCCCGUUUUUGUUUCAGUUCAUAUCAAAUCAAUAUUGUUUGCAACUUUGCAUACAGGUUGGAGAGGUUAUUUUUGGCGUGGAGGUCUUUUUCAGUUUUUCUAAAGUUACUAUUUUUUUUCCAGUUCCCUAAGCUCUUUCGUCAUGUUAAGUAAAGUCUUACCUACCACAAAAUUGUAUCAUUCAUCCCACACAAUGGUUGGAAUCCUAGUCGUUCAAUUACAGUAGACCAACCAUGUUUCACGUUUUGUAUAGUCCAACCAAUAAUACAGAUUCAGCCUGGUGAUGAUUUUCAAUAUAUUGUGAUAGUAGUUUCCUGCAUUGAUUAGUUAUUGAGCCAUCCUUCCGUUGUACUCGAAGUGUUGUAAUAGUUAAAUAGAUGUAUUUGUGCCAUUUAGCUCAUUGUAAUGUAGGAGCUGAUCAGGGUGGAAGAGUAAUCUGUGUUGUGUAGACAACAUCACUGUAAUUUUCUCAGGCGAAUAAAAGAAUAGCUUGCGGUUCAUGGAAAAGCCCCAAUAAAAUUCAGUUCAGUUCAGCUGUACAUCUUUUGCUGACCCCUUUUCUUGGUGCUGAUUGAGCUUUGUGUGUCAAUAUUUUUAUUUGACUGCAUUUUUUGCUUUAGUCCUUCCUCUUAGUGUAUAAUGAUCCUGAUUGUGUGAGUUUCUUUCCUGGCAGGGUAGUUAUGCCUCAAUCCAUUCCAUAACAAAAUGCAUAUAUGUCCUGAAGGUAGGAUUUCACCUUCAGAUUGUCAUCAAGUUCGUCAAAUUUAUCGUUCCAUGCUGGAACAGUGUACUUUCACGAGUAUUUUUCUACUGAGUACAUAUAAUACUUUCACACCUAUGUUGUAUUAUAUUCCAACUUUCCAAGUACCUUGUGCUUUUGUUCUUGGAUUCUUUCUAAAUGCUCCACAAGUCCUGCACUAAUUUUCUCAACAAAAUAAUUAAGUGAAACAUGGCUCUGAGCUAUUGUCAUAUGGUACCUGUAUGGGCUCUAGUUGAGUUUGGCGGUCAUAUUUUCUUUAACUGUUGGUAAAAGUCUUAAGUUGUGCUACUUUAGAACUUUCUGAAAUACAAACAGUAGCCAUAGUUCCAUAUGCAUUUCUUUGAUUGUAAUUUCUUGUUGGUACCUUACCAAGCAAACUGGUCCGUUUCUAUCUUACCUGUUGUCAUCAAACUGGUGCCACAAAUCCAAUGGAUUUUGUUUCUGUUAAAUCAUAUUACGUCCAGAAAUGUGAGCUUAUAUCCGCUGCAUCUUUAGGGAAGCCAUUUUUUACGCUGCAAAUAAUGUGUGUGCUUAUCCCAUUAACUUGAGUGUGUUAUUACAAGUUGCAGGAGCAUGAAUGGUCCACAUCUCAGCUGGCUGUUGUUUCUGUAAGAAAUUACUUUCUUCAUUACGCAUUGCUCGUGAUUAUUCUGUCUUGAAUAAACAUAUGGUGUGGCACUUUUCGUAUAAUGAUUUUAUAUCUUUCUGGUCCCAAAUCAUGCCGUUGAUUUACUUUCGUUUUAUUUUAUUACUUUUGAUCAUUUUGGCUCUGAAAAGCAAUAGUACAGUAUAUCCAUGGAGUAUAAUAGAGUUGUUUGUUUGUUUGUUCUAUCAAGCCAGUUUUAUUCUAUUUGCAUGAGCAUAUACCAAACUUUUUUCAUGCUCGCUCAUGAACAAGAUGAGGGCACUGGUUAUGUAUUUCCAAACAAGGUUUUGAUUGAGAUAGGUAUUACUGAUUUCUUUGGAUUGCUAUGCUCCAAAACUUGAUGUAUUGUCUAGGCUAACUCUCUUUUUUUAAUUCAAAAACAAAGAAGAUUCCUACAACUACUGCAGAUUUGCAAAGAAUCAUGAAAUCAGAAUAUCCAUGUAUCAAAAGCAAAAAAGAUGCCUACAACUACUAUACAGGAAUGAUGUUCUAUAUUGCUGCCACACGGGAAUAUAUAUCGUAGUGCUCUCAAUAUAAAUUAAAAUGUUACUAGGGUUCUUGGUUAAUGCAUUGUUUUUUUCCUUUCCCAUCCAGAAUGAUAUUUGAUUGAAGAUAUGGAAUUAGUAUGAGAUCACUUUAGGGGGUUUAAACACUUGGAUAAGAUUAAACACAUGUUGUACCGAAUGAUAAUGGUACACCAUUUGGCGAUGGGUUCUCUAAAAAACUUAAAAUUCCACUAGAUAUUAUUUAGAUAUAAUGGAAAAGGGAUCAGAAAUGCGGUUUGUAUGACUGAAAACAUCCUUAACAUAUGGUUGUUCAUUAUACUCUGUGGUAGUGAGAUCGGUUAGUAAUGUUACACAUAAUAUAUAUUUUCCAGUUGUGUCCCUCACUCUCUUAAGCACGUUUCUGUUGUAUACUGGUUAGUUGUCACAAUGCAUGUAUUUGAGGAUGUCGUCGGGUCUCCAUUGUUGUACAUUUGUCUUGCCACUUUGUUGUUCAAAUUAUUUUUUAGGAAACUAUUUCAACUCUUCUGAAGGCCAUUUGUUCUUAAUGUUUUUCUUUAUAAGUAUCUCCAUAAUGGCACUUUCCACCUGGAAAAAGCAUCAAGGUCAGCGAUCCAGUUUUUGUUCUAUAGGCAUCUCUUCUUUGAAUGAGGCAUGGUAGCAGAUGAUGUAUCUGUUUUAUGUGUGUUAGAAGAGGCAUCCGGUUGCUUGACUUUGUACGCACAUUCUGAUUCUUUAAUCUUAGUUGUACAACCUAUAUCUAUCCAAUUUAUUCUUUGUAUACCAACUCAAAGCUGUGAAUUGAUGACCACACCUGCUAAGACAA